GCGCAAGAAAUAUAUAUAUAAGAUCCAAUGCGUAGGGUAGUCGACACCCGCAAUUGAGGAAAAUUAACGAUGGGCGGGGGUUAGCGGCGCUCAAGAGUUGUGUUUGUAAGUGAAUGGGCCGCUCGCUGAGCUGUGUGAUUAUUGGGGAAGAUAGGAUAUAAAGGAUGAAGGAAAGGGUGCUGAAAAGAUAAACUCCCGACUUCGGUUUCUCUUAUAGCUGUUGUCGGUGUCGAGAAAGAGGAUGCAGUACUGUACGGUUGAGCGAAAGGUGUGGGGCAGCUGUGAUCUUGGUUGAAAGGGCUGAGAGCUGUAGUAAGCUGGUUGGAAGGAACGGGAAAGUCGUGUGCAUGGGAGGGCGGGUGUGGAUAAUUUGUUUACAUGAUAUAUAUGUAGUCGUACGCACGGACGAGGCGGUCAGUAUGCUUCCAAAAGCACUUCUCUGCUGUUCCUCGCCGCUCAGCAGAGUCCUAGAAUGCCUUUUCACGAACUAUUUCGAUCCGUAUCUGAUUGGAUCUAUUCCGCUUGUUGACGGUAUGCAGCAGUAGGACAG
rnacentral:sRNA from 1 species